rnacentral:rRNA from 1 species
UACAGAGGGGGCAAGCGUUGUUCGGAAUUACUGGGCGUAAAGGGCGCGUAGGUGGCCUUCUAAGUUGAACGUGAAAUCCCUGGGCUCAACCCAGGAACUGCGUCCAAGACUGGGAGGCUUGAAUCCGGGAGAGGGAUGCGGAAUUCCAGGUGUAGCGGUGAAAUGCGUAGAUAUCUGGAGGAACACCGGUGGCGAAGGCGGCUCACUGGCCCGAUACUGACGCUGAGGUGCGAAAGCGUGGGGAGCAAACAGG